ACACAUGCAGCCGAGCGGUAUUUGUUCUUCGGAACAGAGAGAGCGGCGUACGGGUGCGUAACACGUGUGCAACCUACCUUUAUCAGGGGAAUAGCCUUUCGAAAGGAAGAUUAAUACUCCAUAAUAUAUUGAAUGGCAUCAUUCGAUAUUGAAAACUCCGGUGGAUAAAGAUGGGCACGCGCAAGAUUAGAUAGUUGGUGAGGUAACGGCUCACCAAGUCAAUGAUCUUUAGGGGUCCUGAGAGGGAGAUCCCCCACACUGGUACUGAGACACGGACCAGACUCCUACGGGAGGCAGCAGUGAGGAAUAUUGGACAAUGGGUGAAAGCCUGAUCCAGCCAUCCCGCGUGAAGGAUGACGGUCCUAUGGAUUGUAAACUUCUUUUGUAUAGGGAUAAACCUAGAUACGUGUAUCUAGCUGAAGGUACUAUACGAAUAAGCACCGGCUAACUCCGUGCCAGCAGCCGCGGUAAUACGGAGGGUGCAAGCGUUAUCCGGAUUUAUUGGGUUUAAAGGGUCCGUAGGCGGGCCGAUAAGUCAGUGGUGAAAUCUCAUAGCUUAACUAUGAAACUGCCAUUGAUACUGUCGGUCUUGAGUAAAUUAGAGGUAGCUGGAAUAAGUAGUGUAGCGGUGAAAUGCAUAGAUAUUACUUAGAACACCAAUUGCGAAGGCAGGUUACCAUGAUUUAACUGACGCUGAGGGACGAAAGCGUGGGGAGCGAACAGGAUUAGAUACCCUGGUAGUCCACGCCGU
rnacentral:rRNA from 1 species